rnacentral:lncRNA from 1 species
CUUCACUCUACCAGAAACAACUGCUCACAGGACACAUCUGGCCCCCAUGUCUUUUUAAAUGAAAGGAAAUCAAGAUAAGGUGAAGAGGAGAUCAGUUGCCUCUGCAGAAGGUGUCUGAGAAGGAGAUGUUGAAGCUUUGCUUCUCCUUGUGCUUCUCCUCUUCCCCCAUAAGUCAUCUGAGAAGACUGCUUAAAUAUUCCACGCUGCCUUAGUGUGACUCAAAUUUCCAGCUGUUUUGCUGCCAGGAAGAACCAGGUGCCUUGGGAACAGUGAGGCUGAAAGGAGCAGGAAGCAAAGAAUGAGGCUGUUGAAGGAGAGACAGCCACAAGGCCCCCCUUCAACUUUGUGAGUGAUGCGCUUCCACUGGCAAGAACUACAAGGACCACAAGAAC